CCUACGGGGAGCUGCAGUGGGGAAUAUUGGACAAUGGGCGAAAGCCUGAUCCAGCCAUGCCGCGUGUGUGAAGAAGGCCUUCGGGUUGUAAAGCACUUUCAGUGGGGAAGAAAGCCUUGGGGUUAAUACCCUCGAGGAAGGACAUCACCCACAGAAGAAGCACCGGCUAACUCCGUGCCAGCAGCCGCGGUAAUACGGAGGGUGCGAGCGUUAAUCGGAAUUACUGGGCGUAAAGCGCGCGUAGGCGGUCUGAUAAGCCGGUUGUGAAAGCCCCGGGCUCAACCUGGGAACGGCAUCCGGAACUGUCAGGCUAGAGUGCAGGAGAGGAAGGUAGAAUUCCCGGUGUAGCGGUGAAAUGCGUAGAGAUCGGGAGGAAUACCAGUGGCGAAGGCGGCCUUCUGGACUGACACUGACGCUGAGGUGCGAAAGCGUGGGUAGCAAACAGGAUUAGAUACCCGGGUAGUC
rnacentral:rRNA from 1 species